rnacentral:rRNA from 1 species
UACGGAGGGUGCAAGCGUUAAUCGGAAUUACUGGGCGUAAAGCGUGCGCAGGCGGUGAUGUAAGACAGUUGUGAAAUCCCCGGGCUCAACCUGGGAAUUGCAUCUGUGACUGCAUCGCUAGAGUACGGUAGAGGGGGAUGGAAUUCCGCGUGUAGCAGUGAAAUGCGUAGAUAUGCGGAGGAACACCGAUGGCGAAGGCAAUCCCCUGGACCUGUACUGACGCUCAUGCACGAAAGCGUGGGGAGCAAACAGG